UGGGGAAUAUUGGACAAUGGGCGCAAGCCUGAUCCAGCCAUGCCGCGUGUGUGAUGAAGGCCCUAGGGUUGUAAAGCACUUUCAACGGUGAAGAUAAUGACGGUAACCGUAGAAGAAGCCCCGGCUAACUUCGUGCCAGCAGCCGCGGUAAUACGAAGGGGGCUAGCGUUGUUCGGAAUUACUGGGCGUAAAGCGCACGUAGGCGGAUCGUUAAGUGAGGGGUGAAAUCCCAGGGCUCAACCCUGGAACUGCCUUUCAUACUGGCGAUCUUGAGUUCGAGAGAGGUGAGUGGAAUUCCGAGUGUAGAGGUGAAAUUCGUAGAUAUUCGGAGGAACACCAGUGGCGAAGGCGGCUCACUGGCUCGAUACUGACGCUGAGGUGCGAAAGCGUGGGGAGCAAACAGG
rnacentral:rRNA from 1 species